rnacentral:misc_RNA from 1 species
UUUGACUCAUAAAAUAAAGAUUUAAAGGUUAAGUUAUUUUAAAUUAAAAAAAAUUAUUAAUUAUAGGAAUUAAUUUGUUAACAAAUAAUUUUGAGAACUAAAUUAUUAUAUAAAAACAUAUCAAGGAUAGCGACUUAGUUAUAAAUUACUAAAAAAAAUCAUAAAUUUUUGCUGAGAAAGGUAUUAAGAUUUGACCAAUUUUCUAUUAAUUAUUUGCUUGGAUUCCAUGGACAACAGUUUAUGUAUUUUUUACCGUUACUAGCAAUUAAUAUGGCUAGCUCUGUCCCACUGAUUCUGCCUAUCAUUUCGCAUAAAAAUGUUGCCCCACGUCUCAAUGAUUUCUUUAUAAGGCUGGUGAAACCAAACCACCAGGAAAAAAGAUCAAUAGAGGGGAUCAAAUUGAUUAAUUGUUAUUAUUAUUUGGUUAAUUUUUUUAAAGCAAUUUGGUUAAUUAUUUAAUUUUUCAUAGUUUGAGCAAUGAAAUUAAUUAAUGCAAUGCAAAGCUCUUUUUGUGGAAGGAUUAGAGAGAAUUGCAAAUUACAAUAAUAUCAUAAAAGGAAAAAUAGCAAGAAUGGCAUAAUUAUUACCUGCUCCAAGCAUUUUAAAAACAAAUAAAAUUAGAAUUAAAAUAAUAGUAUAGAGUAUGUGAAUAAUAAAGUGAUAUUAUGUGUCAUAAAAAUAAUAAAGGGUAAUUUAUAAUUAAAUUCCUAAGAUAUGGCAAAAAACACAUAUUAGUCUCUGCUAUGUUUUUAGUAACAAUUUCGUCUUCAAAGUUUAGUUAUGCUAACAAAUUAGUCCAUUUGUCUAAAUUGACCAUUAAUAACUGUUUUUUAAUUUAAAACAAUUUAUUCAUUGAAAUUUUGUUUUACAAACAAAAUAGUCUCUAAAUUUUUAUUGUAUUAGCAAAAUAGCCCUACAUUUAUAUUUUAUAUUUAAG